UACAGAGGGUGCGAGCGUUAAUCGGAAUUACUGGGCGUAAAGGGCGCGUAGGCGGUUAUUUAAGUUAGAUGUGAAAUCCCUGGGCUUAACCUAGGAACUGCAUCUGAUACUGGAUAACUGGAGUGCGGUAGAGGGUAGUGGAAUUUCCGGUGUAGCGGUGAAAUGCGUAGAUAUCGGAAGGAACACCAGUGGCGAAGGCGGCUACCUGGACUGACACUGACGCUGAGGCGCGAGAGCGUGGGGAGCAAACAGG
rnacentral:rRNA from 1 species